rnacentral:rRNA from 1 species
UAGGGAAUCUUGGACAAUGGGCGAAAGCCUGAUCCAGCCAUGCCGCGUGAGUGAAGAAGGCCUUAGGGUUGUAAAGCUCUUUUAGCGGGGAAGAUAAUGACGGUACCCGCAGAAUAAGCCCCGGCUAACUUCGUGCCAGCAGCCGCGGUAAUACGAAGGGGGCUAGCGUUGUUCGGAAUUACUGGGCGUAAAGCGCACGCAGGCGGAUUGAUAAGUCAGGGGUGAAAUCCCGGGGCUCAACCUCGGAAUUGCCUUUGAUACUGCCAGUCUUGAGUCCGGGAGAGGUGAGUGGAAUUCCUAGUGUAGAGGUGAAAUUCGUAGAUAUUAGGAAGAACACCAGUGGCGAAGGCGGCUCACUGGCCCGGUACUGACGCUCAGGUGCGAAAGCGUGGGGAGCAAACAGGAUUAGAUACCCUGGUAGUCCACGCCGUAAACGAUGGAUGCUAGCCGUUGGGGAGCUUGCUCUUCAGUGGCGCAGCUAACGUCUUAAGCAUCCCGCCUGGGGAGUACGGUCGCAAGAUUA